UUGCUUUGGCAGUACAUAUACAAAAAAAUGUAACAUUGCAGAAAAGAUUAGUAUGGCCCUUGUGCAAGGAUGCCAAACAAAUUCUUGACGCUUUCCAUAUUUUU